rnacentral:rRNA from 1 species
UACGGAGGGUGCGAGCGUUGUCCGGAAUCACUGGGCGUAAAGGGCGCGUAGGCGGCCUGAUAAGUAGGGGGUGAAAUCCUGCGGCUUAACCGCAGGGCUGCCUUCUAAACUGUCGGGCUAGAGCACGGUAGAGGCAGAUGGAAUUCCCGGUGUAGCGGUGGAAUGCGUAGAGAUCGGGAAGAACAUCAGUGGCGAAAGCGACUUCCUGGACCAAUACUGACGCUCAUGUGCGAAAGCGUGGGGAGCAAACAGG